rnacentral:rRNA from 1 species
ACUCCUACGGGAGGCAGCAGUAGGGAAUCUUCCACAAUGGACGAAAGUCUGAUGGAGCAACGCCGCGUGAGUGAAGAAGGUUUUCGGAUCGUAAAACUCUGUUGUUGGAGAAGAAUGUAUCUGAUAGUAACUGAUCAGGUAGUGACGGUAUCCAACCAGAAAGCC